rnacentral:rRNA from 1 species
CCUACGGGAGGCAGCAGUGAGGAAUAUUGGUCAAUGGACGAGAGUCUGAACCAGCCAAGUAGCGUGAAGGAUGACUGCCCUAUGGGUUGUAAACCUCUUUUAUAUGGGAAUAAAACAGUGUAUGCAUACACUUUUGUAUGUACCAUAUGAAUAAGGAUCGGCUAACUCCGUGCCAGCAGCCGCGGUAAUACGGAGGAUCCGAGCGUUAUCCGGAUUUAUUGGGUUUAAAGGGAGCGUAGGGGGGUUGUUAAGUCAGUUGUGAAAGUUUGUGGCUCAACCAUAAAAUUGCAGUGGAAACUGGCAUUCUUGAGUACGGGAGAGGUGGGCGGAAUUCGUGGUGUAGCGGUGAAAUGCUUAGAUAUCACGAAGAACUCCGAUUGCGAAGGCAGCUCACUGGACUGCAACUGACGCUGAUGCUCGAAAGUGUGGGUAUCAAACAGGAUUAGAUACCCGUGUAGUC